rnacentral:rRNA from 1 species
GAGUUUGAUCCUGGCUCAGGACGAACGCUGGCGGCGUGCUUAACACAUGCAAGUCGAACGGAGCACCUUUGAAAGAGACUUCGGUCAAUGGAUGAGACUGCUUAGUGGCGGACGGGUGAGUAACGCGUGAGGAACCUGCCUUCCAGAGGGGGACAACAGUUGGAAACGACUGCUAAUACCGCAUAACGCAUGACCGGGGCAUCCCGGACAUGCCAAAGAUUUAUCGCUGGAAGAUGGCCUCGCGUCUGAUUAGCUAGUUGGUAGGGUAACGGCCUACCAAGGCGACGAUCAGUAGCCGGACUGAGAGGUUGGCCGGCCACAUUGGGACUGAGAUACGGCCCAGACUCCUACGGGAGGCAGCAGUGGGGAAUA